UACGGAGGGGGCUAGCGUUGUUCGGAAUUACUGGGCGUAAAGCGCACGUAGGCGGCUUUUCAAGUCAGAGGUGAAAGCCCGGGGCUCAACCCCGGAAUUGCCUUUGAGACUGAGAGGCUAGCAGGUGAGAGAGGUGAGUGGAAUUCCGAGUGUAGAGGUGAAAUUCGUAGAUAUUCGGAAGAACACCAGUGGCGAAGGCGGCUCACUGGCUCAUACUGGACGCUGAGGUGCGAAAGCGUGGGGAGCAAACAGG
rnacentral:rRNA from 1 species